GAUUCCCCUAGUAACUGCGAGUGAAGCGGGAAAAGCUCAAAUUUGAAAUCUGGCAGUCUUUUUUUUCUUCUUUGGCUGUCCGAGUUGUAAUCUAGAGAAGUGCUUACCUGCGCUGGACCAUGUAUAAGUCUCCUGGAAUGGAGCCUCACAGAGGGUGAGAAUCCCGUCUUUGACAUGGACCGCCAGUGCGUUGUGGUGCGCUCUCAAAGAGUCGAGUUGUUUGGGAAUGCAGCUCUAAACGGGUGGUAAACUCCAUCUAAAGCUAAAUAUUGGCGAGAGACCGAUAGCGAACAAGUACCGUGAGGGAAAGAUGAAAAGGACUUUGGAAAGAGAGUUAAACAGUAUGUGAAAUUGUUGAAAGGGAAACGCUUGAAGUCAGUUAUGUCGGCUGGGGAUCAACCUAGCCAUCUUUUUGGCUGGGUGAAUUUCCUAGUCUGACAGGCCAACAUCAGUCUUGACUGCCGGAAAAGAGCGGAGGGAAUGUGGCACCUUUGGGUGUGUUAUAGCCCUCUGUCAUAUGCGGCAGUCGGGACUGAGGGAUGCAGCGUGCCGCGAGGCUGGGUUUCGACCACGUUCACGCUUAGGAUGUUGGCUUUUAAUGGCUCCAAUCGACCCGUCUUGAAACACGGACCAAGGAGUCUAACAUGCCUGCGAGUGUUUGGGUGGAAAACCCUUGUGCACAAUGAAAGUGAAAGUUGAGAUCCCCGUCAUGGGGAGCAUCGACGCCCGGACUUGAGCUUUUAGCGACGGAUCCGCGGUAGAGCAUGCAUGUUGGGACCCGAAAGAUGGUGAACUAUGCCUGAAUAGGGCAAAGCCAGAGGAAACUCUGGUGGAGGCUCGUAGCGAUUCUGACGUGCAAAUCGAUCGUCAAAUUUGGGUAUAGGGGCGAAAGACUAAUC
rnacentral:rRNA from 1 species